GAACUGAGACAGGGUCCACACUUCUACGGGAGGCAGCAGUGGGGAAUAUUGCACAAUGGGCGCAAGCCUGAUGCAGCCAUGCCGCGUGUAUGAAGAAGGCCUUCGGGUUGUAAAGUACUUUCAGCGGGGAGGAAGGCGAUGAGGUUAUUUUUUCUCGUUUUAUUGACGUUACCCGCAGAAGAAGCACCGGCUAACUCCGUGCCAGCAGCCGCGGUAAUACGGAGGGUGCAAGCGUUAAUCGGAAUUACUGGGCGUAAAGCGCACGCAGGCGGUCUGUCAAGUCAGAUGUGAAAUCCCCGGGCUUAACCUGGGAACUGCAUUUGAAACUGGCAGGCUAGAGUCUUGUAGAGGGGGGUAGAAUUCCAGGUGUAGCGGUGAAAUGCGUA
rnacentral:rRNA from 1 species